GUAAAAUAAAAUAAAAUAACUGCUAAUAAAUAAUUAAUCUUCUCACUGCGUGGACUUCACGUUUCCUGCUUUGGUCGAUCGCCGGCGGAUUGCACUUCGGAGAAGUCGCCGAAGAGAGCCUCUGCGAUUAGCUAGGUUUUGUCGCCGGGGGAAGUUAUAGGGUUCUUUUGGAAAGAGAGUAAGAUUCGGUGGUCGGCGGAUGAGAUAUCAAUUGCGGCGAAGGAAAAUAAUAUACGAAUCGCUAGCUCUUUCUUUGCACGGUGAAUCUUCCAUUGGAUUUAGUGGAUAAUGGAUAAUGAAGAGAAGUCUGUAUACCAUGAGCGACAAAAAUUACAGUUUUGCUUGUUGCACACUGUCAACAAUCUGUUCCAGGAGAAUGAAGCAUUCACCCGGGAAAAUUUGAAUGGUCGCUUUCGAUUGAUUAUAUCCUUUACAAAUUUAGCGUAAUGUGGCAUUUGCAAUAAAGUAUCAGCAAAUGGUAUUGUGACUUUAAGACUACGGCAAGUAUGUAUAAACUUUUCAAACUCCUUGGAAUUGUGCUUCUUCCCAAACCUGGUUGGAAAAAGGGCCCUGGUUAUCGCUUGAGCGGGGGCUUUUUUCGUUUGUUCAGGUAAAUUAACAACAAUAGGGGUAGAAGAGAAGUUAGUAUCUCUGUCUGGCAGUGGUGGCGAUUGCGUCCGCUUUCCACCCCUUGUUUCGUUAGCCUUCCGUUGGUUCGGAAUAGUCUCGACUGUCCAAGGCAACGUUCCCUUUUACUUAAGCUCCAUAGCUUAGGCUGUUUGCCCAACUUGAAUAUCUUGCAUCUUGAUCGAGACAAAUGUAUUACGUUGGAACUCAUGAUUUGCUUGCUCGGUAUUUCUCCAGAGUUCAUCCAGACUCAGCGGCUAUUGAGCUGCUGUGGGAGGUUGAGCGAAACAGGUGCUGCUGCGGAAAAUGGGGGGUCUGCAAAUAUUGUUGUUGUGGAUAAAAUCCCCCCUGAUAAUAUUGUUGCGAAGCGAACAGCUGCGGCUGUUGAAAUUGUUGUUGAGGAUGUAGUCUAGCGGGUCCUUGAAGGUGCCCCUUCUGAAACUGCUGAAAAUGAGGAGCAUUUCUAUUUGCCAUGUAGAAAACCUCCGCUGAGUUCUGAGUCUGCUCAGUAGAGCUCUCAGCGACCUGCGGGCUAGAUUGGUUAACAUAGGCGCACUCCUUAGUAACCACAACCUCGCCCACUACCUGUUUCCCCUUGUUACCGAGGUCCUGCUUCACGAGCUUGGAAAGCUCUUUGAUUUGAACCGACAGGCUAUCGAUCCUAGCGUCUUGUGAGACCGUAGCAGAAACCUGGUAGAGACCCCUUGAUGGCUUUGCCCAACUUGUUUGAUUGGUUGCCAUCUUUUCUAUCAAAGCCUUCGCUUCUAAAGCACAGUGCCCGAGCUACUUGCCGCGGCAUCCAGAGACAUCCUCAAUUCUGGAGUGAUCCCCGAGUAGAAGAUCUGGAGCUCCAUAAAGUCAGGAAUCUCGUGAUGAGGGCAGUUGCAGAGCAGCUGCUUGUAGCAGCUCCAGGCUUUGGGCAGGGUUUCAUUACUAGCCAUUUUGAAACUCAGUAUCUCAUUCCUUUGGCUGAUGGUCUUUGAAUAGGAUGAUAUUUACUUACGAAGGCCUACGCUGCUUCUUUAAAACUGACAUGAAUGGGGUAGAGGUUAUCAAACCACUUUCUUGCCUUUCAUGAUAGAGAAAAGGUUAACAGAAUUAGCUUUGCAGCGUCUUCCGUGAUGCCGUGUGACUUAGAGGUGGCGGCGAUCUCGUUGAAGUUCUGCAGAUGAUCGUACGGGUUUUCAUUGAGCAGCCCAUGAAAUUGGUUCUGGCUGGCCAGGCUUACAAGCGCCGGCUUCACCUCAUAAUUCCCAGAGCCUCGGGACUUCAGCAAGUGGGCGAUCAACAACCCUUUGUCCCUGUUGCAUCUAGUUAGGCUCAGUAGUAGAUGGAGGGGGAGCGAUGAUGGUGGGUGUCGCAGUGGCGUGAGUUGGGAAGCGAUAAACGCGGCCUGAGCGGCUUGAGUUUUCUCAACCAGAACGAGGUGUGCUUGUAGUCCAACCAUCCGCUGCUGGUUGCUAGUGAGCGUUCUAACAAGCUGCUCUUCGGUAGCUGUUAGGACAUGGGGGACAACAGUAGGCUGGACUACAGUGGUGAUCUGAAGCGGCACCUCCUGCGACGAUGUAGAUGUGGCAGAGUUAAAAGAAGUCCCAGCGACAGUCUGGAAAGUUGGGACAACAGUGGAGGAAGCAGCGACAUUUCCUUGGUUUGCCAUUAUCCUUUCUCUUGUUAGUUCUCUAAACAGAUGUCUCUGCGUACGAGAAAAAGGAGUUGGACUGGUUGAACGUUGAAAACGCUUCGAACCCCUGCAUAAAGAUUGCCACACCAAAUAAAAAUUUUAAAAUAUACAACAAAGGAAUCAUAAAACAACGAAACGAAAUUACAGAAUUUUAAAAGUAAAUCAUGGCGCAUCACUAGAUCAUUUUAAGAUUUUUAAUUUCUUGAGUUUAAAAUCCCCGAAAACGGCGCCAAAUUAUGACAUGCACAAUUUUGUAUAUUCAAGUACAAAGAGUUUUUAGUCGAAAGUAAGGUGUAAUGGACUAUUGUGAGCGGUCAGAUAUAGAUAAAAAUAUGUAGUUGUAGACCCUUAAUCGUUUAUCAUAAUUAUUUAUUCUCUUUGACUAGUGAGUUUUCAGGUCGAACACAAGAAUUUUAAGUUGUGAAAUUUAAUCAAGAUUUAAUCCAAUGAAAAGCAAUGAGAAAGCGAUAAAGAGACCCGCUCGUGAGCGAGUCCAAAAACAGAACUAAAAAUAACAAAAAUUAAGGAAGACGGUAAAGAUGAGCGGGGUGAGCAAAACGAUGGUUAGUAAAGUCAGUGCAAGCGGUAGAUGAGCGGAAGGGAGCACGAGCGAUAGGUGCGAUAUAUAUUUAUAUAUUUUGAGCGGUCGAGGAUGAUGAAGAGGCGAUGUGUCUGGGUUGUGCGUUCCUUAAUGACUAGAUUAUCCUGGAUGAAAUGAGCGAAUGGGGAUGGUGCUUAAUUGAAGAAUAUAUGUAUAAUUUGUGGGCGAUAGAAGGUAGUAAUGUAAUCAUAUAAACAAAAUCAUACAAAACUUAAAUCGCUGAUACUUGACCUUAAGGGAUUUACAACAAGACUUCAAUGAUGCCCAUAAUUAGAACAUUAUAAAAAAGAACCCCUACUGUCACUAGAAAUUCCUGCGACCCAAUAGACCACCGCCUAUGCCCCAUUAAUUAUUCCAAUUUAUGUCUCAUUAGUAGCUUUACCCUUAUGUUACCUCUUUUUAAUCAAAAUCGAAUUCAGAUCAGUAAUUAAGCAGUUCGACAAAGCUUUCGCGUACUUAAAUACAUUGAACUACCAUGAGUCUGUUUGUGACGCAAAACAAGGCUUAGAUAGUCGAUUCUUCUCUGUUCUUUCUCAGCGAUUCGAGAUUCUUUAUAACUCAAAUUUAUAUGAAUAUGAAAAUGGAAAAAAAAUGGGGAUAAAGAACAAUUGAUAUUUCAUUACUUACUACUUAAAACAGUAAAGUUCUAGUACUAAAAAAAGUUGAAAAUAAAAGCCGAAAACUAAAACUAAAAAGCCGUAGAGUAGCGGCCAGAUGAGGAGAAAAGUCUCGACUCCCCUGGCCAUUCCUGCUGAGAACUUCUUUACAGGGUUGGAGCUCUCGGGAGGCAGGAAGGCAGCUACGAAAUGUGCAUAAGAAGAUAUGAAUGUAUAUUCUUCUCUGAGUUUUUUUUUUUACAAUAGACAUCUUGCUCCAUUUAUACUAGUUGAAAUAGCAGUUGCGAGCAAUUGAGAAGUGGUUUCAACCGCUGAGCAGUUAGGCAGUUGGCGGCGGUUAUUCUGUUAAAGCAGUUGCGCUGGCCAUAACUCCUACGGUGCUCACUUCGCUUGCCUUGGCUUGUGGGGUGCUGAUCUUCCUCGCUUGCCCAGAUGGCUGAAGGGCAUUAGCGCAGCUAAGCGGAACUGUCCUUACUGGCUGGUAGUGGAAUGGCUAUUCCGCUGCGGGUUGGACACUUAGGCAUUUUCAGCAGUGAGUUUCCGUCGCUUCGCUGCGGUAGGUAUCUGGGUCACUGGUAUGACUGAUGAAGGCUUCACUUAUUGAGCGGACGGGGCCGUCGCUUCCUUCUUAUGCCUUAGCUUUUCUGGGCCAGAAUCACCGCUUAAAGAGCCAAAAAACGUUAAUAAUCUCAACAAACUAAUUCUGGAUCAUGCCAUGCGAAAUAGAUCAAUAAAGUAUGCCAUAAAUAAGUUAUUGUGAUGAUUUUCAUACCGAAAUGCAAGUAAUACAUAGUUUUUUUAAGCAGAGAAUAUGCUCAUAUUUGGAGUUAUCACAUUCUCAUCCAAAAGUACUUACGCUCUCCAUAUCUACACACUACAUUGCAUUGCAUUUUGGCGAUAUGUUCGAUUCAUGUAACUCAUUUCUACGUGUAUGUAUAUGUUUGUGUAUAUAUAAUGUGACAUGGUAUCGGGUGACCCGAACCCGAAUAUCGGCGGACCAGUCGUGACCCGUACCCGAUCAAAGACAUUACUUUGUUUAGAGAUUAUGAACCGUUGAUUUUUAGAUUAGAUGUAUGGUCCAGAUUAGAUUAGAUCUUCUUAGCAUAUAUUCCUUAUAUUCUAAUUGUAAAACAUUCAUUCCAUACA